AAGUAAAAGUCGUAACAAGGUUCCGUAGGUGAACCUGCGGAAGGAUCAUUAUUGAAUACGAACGCUGGUUCUGAUGCUGGCCCUUUGCGGGGCAUGUGCUCGCUCCACGUCUAUUUAUCUUCUCUUGUGCACCUCUUGUAGUCCUUGAAUCCAAAGUGAACCUCUCGCAGCAAUGCGGUUGGGGGGAUUUUGAGUCGCCGCAAGGCCUCAUUCCCCUGCUCGCUUUCAAGGCUAUGUUUUCAUAUACACUAUAAAAGUUACAGAAUGUCUUUUAAAGACUUGCGCUCGCGCAGUCAUUAAACCUAUACAACUUUCAGCAACGGAUCUCUUGGCUCUCCCAUCGAUGAAGAACGCAGCGAAAUGCGAUAAGUAAUGUGAAUUGCAGAAUUCAGUGAAUCAUCGAAUCUUUGAACGCACCUUGCGCCCUUUGGUAUUCCGAAGGGCAUGCCUGUUUGAGUGUCAUUAAAUUCUCAACCUUGAAACUUUUGUGCUUGCGCAAUGUUCGAGGCUUGGAUGUGAGGGCUUUGCUGGCUUCCUUCAGUGGAUGGUCUGCUCCCUUUAAAUGCAUUAGUGGGAUCUCUUGUGGACCGUCACUUGGUGUGAUAAUUAUCUACGCCUCGCCGACUUUGAAGCAAACUUAUGGGAACCUGCUUAUAACCGUCCCUUACCCGGACAAUUUCUUAUAUUUUGACCUCAAAUCAGGUAGGACUACCCGCUGAACUUAAGCAUAUCAAUAAGCGGAGGAAAAGAAACUAACAAGGAUUCCCCUAGUAACUGCGAGUGAAGCGGGAAAAGCUCAAAUUUAAAAUCUGGCGG
rnacentral:rRNA from 1 species